rnacentral:tRNA from 1 species
GGUGGCUCAGUGGUAGAGUGCUUGCCUUGCAUGCAUGAGACCCUGGGUUCUAUUUCUCAGCACCA